rnacentral:rRNA from 1 species
CCUACGGGAGGCUGCAGUAGGGAAUCUUCCACAAUGGACGAAAGUCUGAUGGAGCAACGCCGCGUGCGUGAAGAAGGGUUUCGGCUCGUUAAGCUCUGUUGGUAGUGGAGAAAGAUAGAGGUAGUAACUGGCCUUUCUUUGACGGUAUUUACUUAGAAAGUCACGGCUAACUACGUGACAGCAGCCGCGGUAAUACGUAGGUGGCAAGCGUUGUCCGGUUUUAUUGGGUGUAAAGCGAGUGCAGGCGGUUCAAUAAGUCUGAUGUGAAAGCCUUCGGCUCAACCGGAGAAUUGCAUCAGAAACUGGUGAACUUGAGUGCAGAGAGGGAGGGUGGAACUCCAGGUGUAGCGGUGGAAUGCGUAGAUAUAAGGAAGAACACCAGUGGCGAAGGCGGCUCUCUGGUCUGCAACUGACGCUGAGGCUCGAAAGCGUGGGUAGCGAACAGGAUUAGAUACCCUUGUAGUC